rnacentral:rRNA from 1 species
UACGUAGGGGGCUAGCGUUGUCCGGAAUCACUGGGCGUAAAGAGCGUGUAGGCGGCUCGGUAAGUCCGCUGUGAAAGUCCAGGGCUCAACCCUGGAAUGCCAGUGGAAACUGUCGAGCUAGAGUCCGGAAGAGGCGAGUGGAAUUCCUGGUGUAGCGGUGAAAUGCGUAGAUAUCUGGAGGAACACCGGUGGCGAAGGCGGCAUCCUGGACCAUUACUGACACUGAAAAGCGAAAGCCAGGGGAGCAAACGGG